UUACGGUCAUAGCGCGUUGAAACACUGGUUCUCGUUCGAUCACCGAAGUUGAGCAACCUCACGUUUGGUCACUAUCAAAAUGGGUGACCGCUUGGGAAUACCAGGUGCUGCAAG